rnacentral:rRNA from 1 species
GACGAACGCUGGCGGCGUGCCUAAUACAUGCAAGUUGAGCGAUGAAGAUUGGUGCUUGCACCAAUUUGAAGAGCAGCGAACGGGUGAGUAACGCGUGGGGAAUCUGCCUUUGAGCGGGGGACAACAUUUGGAAACGAAUGCUAAUACCGCAUAACAACUUUAAACAUAAGUUUUAAGUUUGAAAGAUGCAAUUGCAUCACUCAAAGAUGAUCCCGCGUUGUAUUAGCUAGUUGGUGAGGUAAAGGCUCACCAAGGCGAUGAUACAUAGCCGACCUGAGAGGGUGAUCGGCCACAUUGGGACUGAGACACGGCCCAAACUCCUACGGGAGGCAGCAGUAGGGAAUCUUCGGCAAUGGACGAAAGUCUGGCCGAGCAACGCCGCGUGAGUGAAGAAGGUUUUCGGAUCGUAAAACUCGGUUGGUAGAGAAGAACGUUGGUGAGAGCGGAAAGCUCAUCAAGUGACGGUAACUACCCAGAAAGGGACGGCUAACUACGUG